rnacentral:lncRNA from 1 species
UGUUUCAGAGAUUAAAAUUGCUAAUAACUGUGGUGGAGCCUCUCUUAAUCGUUCGUUCAAAGAAAAAGAAGGUAAAUUAAAAAAUGCGAGAAUUUCUAAAAUUCCGUUGACAAAAGCUAUUAGCUCCAUGGUUAAUCUUGUCAAGUCGCAAGUUGAGACUAGAGCAGAUAUAAUCAGAGGAAAUAUUGAGAGUCAGACUAGUGAUCCUAGACCCGCACCCAAAUGAUUUGGUGGUAUCUUUAUUUUG